UGGAUAGCUCAGUUGGCUAGAGUGUGGUGCUGAAAACGCCAAGAUCGCAGGUUCGAUUCCCUUCUAGGGCAG